UAGGGAAUCUUCGGCAAUGGGGGGAACCCUGACCGAGCAACGCCGCGUGAGUGAAGAAGGUUUUCGGAUCGUAAAGCUCUGUUGUUAAGGAAGAACGAGUGUGAGAAUGGAAAGUUCAUGCUGUGACGGUACUUAACCAGAAAGGGACGGCUAAUUACGUGCCAGCAGCCGCGGUAAUACGUAAGGUCCGAGCGUUGUCCGGAAUCAUUGGGCGUAAAGGGUACGUAGGCGGAUAAGCAAGUUAGAAGUGAAAUCCUAUAGCUCAACUAUAGUAAGCUUUUAAAACUGCUCAUCUUGAGGUAUGGAAGGGAAAGUGGAAUUCCUAGUGUAGCGGUGAAAUGCGCAGAUAUUAGGAGGAAUACCGGUGGCGAAGGCGACUUUCUGGCCAUAAACUGACGCUGAGGUACGAAAGCGUGGGUAGCAAACAGG
rnacentral:rRNA from 1 species